rnacentral:rRNA from 1 species
CGGGCUCAGAUGAACGCUAGCUACAGGCUUACACAUGCAAGUCGAGGGGCAGCAUGGUCUUAGCUUGCUAAGGCCGAUGGCGACCGGCGCACGGGUGAGUAACACGUAUCCAACCUGCCGUCUACUCUUGGACAGCCUUCUGAAAGGAAGAUUAAUACAAGAUGGCAUCAUGAGUCCGCAUGUUCACAUGAUUAAAGGUAUUCCGGUAGACGAUGGGGAUGCGUUCCAUUAGAUAGUAGGCGGGGUAACGGCCCACCUAGUCUUCGAUGGAUAGGGGUUCUGAGAGGAAGGUCCCCCACAUUGGAACUGAGACACGGUCCAAACUCCUACGGGAGGCAGCAGUGAGGAAUAUUGGUCAAUGGGCGAGAGCCUGAACCAGCCAAGUAGCGUGAAGGAUGACUGCCCUAUGGGUUGUAAACUUCUUUUAUAAAGGAAUAAAGUCGGGUAUGGAUACCCGUUUGCAUGUACUUUAUGAAUAAGGAUCGGCUAACUCCGUGCCAGCAGCCGCGGUAAUACGGAGGAUCCGAGCGUUAUCCGGAUUUAUUGGGUUUAAAGGGAGCGUAGAUGGAUGUUUAAGUCAGUUGUGAAAGUUUGCGGCUCAACCGUAAAAUUGCAGUUGAUACUGGAUAUCUUGAGUGCAGUUGAGGCAGGCGGAAUUCGUGGUGUAGCGGUGAAAUGCUUAGAUAUCACGAAGAACUCCGAUUGCGAAGGCAGCCUGCUAAGCUGCAACUGACAUUGAGGCUCGAAAGUGUGGGUAUCAACAGGAUA